CAGCAGCCGGCCAGUGUCUGUCUCAAAGCUUCCACGUGCGAGCCUUCCUUUAAAUAUUUCUCUCACUACAAUUUUCUGCCAAAUUAGAUUAUAUUUUGGCUGAUUUUCCCGAAGUUGCUGUGCAUUGAGGAUUUUAUUAACGUGUGGUCGUGUGAGUCGAGAGAGAAUACCAAUGGAUAUUUUAUAGUGUUGGUGAGUUCUUUUAUAAAAUAAUUAAAGCACCGACAGAAUCGUUGUAAGUAGGAUUUCUUGUGUCAGUUUGAUUUGAUUGGAACGACUGUCAACUGGAAAAAGGGUGGUGGCUU
rnacentral:lncRNA from 1 species